UACCAGCGCGACGGACUAGUGUCCGAAAGCGUUUUUUGUUUUUUCCUUCAUUUUACCAAUGCGCUCACUAUAUAUGUAAUGGUAUAGUAAUUCCCUAUAUAGGGAGUAGGGAGUAGUGAACGAGUGCGCGAUUUCGGACACAGGGUCUCGUCUCGUCUUCUUCCGCUUAUCCGGGGCCGGGUCGCGGAGGCAGCAGUCUAAGCAUGGAAGCCCAAACUUCCCUUUCCCCAGACACCUCGGCCAGCUCCUCGGGAAGAACACCGAGGCGUUCCCAGGCCAGCCGAGAGACAUAGUCCCUCCACCAGGUCCACAUCAUCAAUUUUAAUAUUGCGUAAUCUCGGUGUCAGUAUAUUUUUUAUUAAUUAAAUAAGGGCUAUUGAAAUGUUUUGUGUCACUUUCUUAUAAGUCUCGAUGGAGCAAUCCAUAUCAUAUUUAGUAUUAAAUUCACUUAAUUCAAGUAUAUUGCCAUUUCCAUCCAUAAUAUGUACAAUAGACCAUAAGGUCACGGCCAGUUCUGAUCGAGGGAGUCGAGGUGGAGGCUGUUGAUUCCUACAAGUACCUCGGGCUGUGGCUGGACAGCAAGCUGGACUGGACUUGCAACACCAACCACCUGUACAGGAAGGUACAGAGCAGGCUAUACUUCCUGAGGAGGCUGCGGUCCUUUAACAUCUGCAGGAAACUCCUAUGGAUGUUCUAUCAGUCUGUGGUCGCCAGUGUCCUGUUUUACACCGUGGUGUGCUGGGGGGACAGCACAUCCAAGAAGGACACAUCCAGCCUGGACAAACUGAUCAGGAGGGCCGGCUCUGUGGUCUGCAUGAAGCUGGACUCUCUAGUGAUGGUGUCAGAGAAGAGGACUAUGGACAAACUACUGAACAUCAUGGACGAUGCCAGUCACCCUCUGCACACCGUCAUGAGCAACCAGAGGAGCCUGUUCAGUGACAGAACGCUCCUUCCCAAGUGCAGGACGAACAGACUUAAAAACUCCUUUGUUCCUCACGCCAUCAGACUGUACAGCUCCUCUCUGGGGGUGUAACAGGAGGACAGAAGACGGGAAGGAGCAGUAGCCUAGCCUGACAAAAAGCAAUACUGGACAAUGUGCAAUACCUCUCCUGCUGGACUUUUUUCAUAUCUUAUUUUUUAUAUUUGUAUAUGUAAAUACUUAAUUUAUCUAGAAGCUUUUUCUAUUUUUUAUUCUCUGUUUAUCCUGUAAUGAUGCUGCUGGGAUUUUAAUUUCCCUGAGGGAACCCUCCCAAAGUGAUCAAUAAAGUUCUAUCUAAUCUAA